GUUAGACAUUAUGUUGUCAAACGACCUCCCGGGCGAUGAUGAGAACCAAUUUUAUCAGUCGACAUAAAUGACUGAACGAUAAUUCAACAUCGAAUAAUGGAUGAACCGACCAAACGUUGCCUUACCUAUUGGACGGCUAAUACUCUUUGUGGCUUGUUGAUUCUUUCCAUUGGAAGUUAACCCUUGUCGAGCCUACUUACCAUAUCCCUACUUACCAUAUCCCUACUUACCUUAUGUUGGCCACUUGACUUACUAUAUAUAUU
rnacentral:lncRNA from 1 species